GCAUUUAAGUUAACCUUUCAAAUCUUCCCCCCUCCCUCUCACACACGCAGAGACACGAUUCUUUCGCCAUGUUCUCUUACCAAACUCGCCAACGGGAGCACAAAGUUUCCAUCUCGAUUAAUUACUGGUGCUGGAACGUCGUUGAGAUGAUGAUAGCUGGAGAGGUCCGGACAUCAGAAGAAGACUCAGGCUCGUCGUCUCAUCAAAGGACUGCAGCAAUAAGGCGUGCGAUGAAUGAUCAUAAGUGCAAGACGAGGAUCCCGCCUUAUGUACUCGGAUAUCUAAAAGCUCAAUAGGUCAUGACUAAUUCAGUCGGGAGAUCGAACAUUAAAGGUUAUUCUCCCUCUCAACAAGUGCGCUUCUUAAGGUUCGAACUUGUGUUCUCUUUCUUACGGGGUGAGUUGUUUACCACUCAACCAAUACUUUUAUCGGUCCAUGCAUGUCAUAAAUAUGUUAAUAAAAUAAUUAUAGCCCAAAUGUGGGAGCAUGCGAUUAUAUGUA